AGCGAACGCUGGCGGCAGGCCUAACACAUGCAAGUCGAACGAACCCUUCGGGGUUAGUGGCGGACGGGUGAGUAACACGUGGGAACGUGCCUUUAGGUUCGGAAUAACUCAGGGAAACUUGUGCUAAUACCGAAUGUGCCCUUCGGGGGAAAGAUUUAUCGCCUUUAGAGCGGCCCGCGUCUGAUCAGCUAGUUGGUGGGGUAAUGGCUCACCAAGGCUACGAUCAGUAGCUGGUCUGAGAGGAUGACCAGCCACAUUGGGACUGAGACACGGCCCAAACUCCUACGGGAGGCAGCAGUGGGGAAUCUUGCGCAAUGGGCGAAAGCCUGACGCAGCCAUGCCGCGUGGAUGAUGAAGGUCUUAGGAUUGUAAAAUCCUUUCACCGGUGAAGAUAAUGACUGUAGCCGGAGAAGAAGCCCCGGCUAACUUCGUGCCAGCAGCCGCCGUAAUAC
rnacentral:rRNA from 1 species